rnacentral:rRNA from 1 species
GACGAACGCUGGCGGCGUGCUUAAUACAUGCAAGUCGAACGGAAAGGCCCUGCUUUGGUGGGGUGCUCGAGUGGCGAACGGGUGAGUAACACGUGAGUAACCUGCCCUUGACUUUGGGAUAACUUCAGGAAACUGUGGCUAAUACCGGAUAGGAGCUCCUGCUGCAUGGUGGGGGUUGGAAAGUUUCGGCGGUUGGGGAUGGACUCGCGGCUUAUCAGCUUGUUGGGGGGGUAGUGGCUUACCAAGGCUAUGACGGGUAGCCGGCCUGGGAGGGUGACCGGCCACAUAGGGACUGAGAAGCGGCCAGGACUCCUACGGGGGGCAGCGGUGGAGAAUAUUGCACACUGGGCCGAAGCCUGGUGCAGCAACGCCGCGUGCGAGAUGACGGCCUUCGGGUUGUAACCCGCUUUCGCCUGUAACGAACCGUGAGUGACGGUAAUGUGUAAAGAAGCACCGGCUAACUACGUG